ACUCCUACGGGAGGCAGCAGUGGGGAAUCUUCCGCAAUGGGCGAAAGCCUGACGGAGCAACGCCGCGUGAGUGACGAAGGCCCUUGGGUCGUAAAACUCUGUCUUCAGGGAAGAAAAAAAUGACGGUACCUGAGGAGGAAGCCCCGGCUAACUACGUGCCAGCAGCCGCGGUAAAACGUAGGGGGCGAGCGUUGUCCGGAAUUACUGGGCGUAAAGGGCGUGUAGGCGGUUCGCGAAGUCAGGAGUGAAAACUCGGGGUUCAACCUCGAGAUUGCUUUUGAAACCAGCGGGCUUGAGUGCAGGAGAGGAAAGUGGAAUUCCCAGUGUAGCGGUGAAAUGCGUAGAUAUUGGGAGGAACACCAGUGGCGAAAGCGGCUUUCUGGCCUGUAACUGACGCUGAGGCGCGAAAGCGUGGGGAGCAAACAGGAUUAGAUACCCUGGUAGUCCACGCCGUAAACGAUGGGUGCUAAGUGUUGGGGGUAUCGACCCCCUCAGUG
rnacentral:rRNA from 1 species